rnacentral:misc_RNA from 1 species
GAUGAAGAACGCAGCGAAAUGCGAUACGUAAUGUGAAUUGCAGAAUUCAGUGAAUCAUCGAGUCUUUGAACGCACAUUGCGCCCCCUGGUAUUCCGGGGGGCAUGCCUGUCCGAGCGUCAUUGCUGCCCUCAAGCACGGCUUGUGUGUUGGGCCUCCGUCCUCCUCCCGGGGGACGGGCCCGAAAGGCAGCGGCGGCACCGCGUCCGGUCCUCGAGCGUAUGGGGCUUCGUCACCCGCUCUUGUAGGCCCGGCCGGCGCUUGCCGACACAUCAACCUUUUUUCCAGGUUGACCUCGGAUCAGGUAGGGAUACCCGCUGAACUUAAGCAUAUCAAUAAGCGGAGGA